rnacentral:lncRNA from 1 species
UUUUUUUUCGGCUAUAAGCACGCUGUUGCAGCUAACGUUUUCUAAUGCGUUAUCGAGACAUCUCUAGUAUAUUAAAACUACUGCAAAUUAUAAAAAUGGCUUUCAUAAAGUAGCAACCACUUAACUUAAAAAAAGGGGGAGGGUUAUUUUUUUUUUAUCUGAGUCAAUUUUUUUUUCGCGCGUACGUUUUUAUUCCUUUUUUUUCGAUGCUGGUGAUCAAAUACUUUUUUUUCAAUAUUUAACACUAUAAUGUAUGGGGAAACUCUUGAUUCAGAAUAUUUUUUUUUAUCAUCUGUAUGACCGUUUUUUUUUUAUCAAAUUGGGGAUCGGAAUAUUUCCAUUCCCAUCCCCUACCCCCUUUUUGAAGUCAAAUGGUUAUUCCCUUACCGCUAGAAAAAUUUUCCAAUAAUUUUGAAUUCAGUUCUACGUAAUGAACAUUUAAAUGACAUAUAGUUUACAAGUGGAAACAAAUCUU